GCCCGAGGGUGGGGAUUUUUGACAGAUUAACACUGAUCUCAGACGAUAUACUGAAGAAACCUGAGCCAAUUUUAGAACAAACUCUGACUCGUCCCCAGUCGCCCGCUGUAAAAAGGGACUGUGGAAGCAAUCUCGUUCCCCGAGCCUGCGAUUUUCGGGAAGGAACGCGAGGCUAUGGGAUAAUCCGUUGCCGGAAGCCAGGAAUCCUGGCUAAGAUUGAACUACGCAUUCCAUUUCAACGGCCAAUCAGAUUCCUCCCUGAAACGGAUUAUCCCAGAGCCUCGCGUUCCUUCCCGAGGAUCGCAG